AUUGAACGCUGGCGGCAGGCUUAACACAUGCAAGUCGAGCGGUAACAGAGAGAAGCUUGCUUCUCUGCUGACGAGCGGCGGACGGGUGAGUAAUGCCUAGGAAUCUGCCUAGUAGUGGGGGAUAACUUGCCGAAAGGUAAGCUAAUACCGCAUACGUCCUACGGGAGAAAGGAGGGGACCUUCGGGCCUUUCGCUAUUAGAUGAGCCUAGGUCGGAUUAGUUAGUUGGUGCGGUAAUGGCUCACCAAGACCGCGAUCCGUAACUGGUCUGAGAGGAUGAUCAGUCACACUGGAACUGAGACACGGUCCAGACUCCUACGGGAAGCAGCAGGGGGGAAUAUUGGACAAUGGGGGGAACCCUGAUCCAGCCAUGCCGCGUGUGUGAAGAAGGUCUUAGGAUUGUAAAGCACUUUAAGUUGGGAGGAAGAGCAGUUAACUAAUAUUUGACUGUUUUGACGUUACCGACAGAAUAAGCACCGGCUAACUUCGUGCCAGCCGCCGCCGUAA
rnacentral:rRNA from 1 species